rnacentral:rRNA from 1 species
AGUGAACGCUGGCGGUAGGCCUAACACAUGCAAGUCGAACGGCAGCACAGUAAGAGCUUGCUCUUACGGGUGGCGAGUGGCGGACGGGUGAGGAAUACAUCGGAAUCUACUUUUUCGUGGGGGAUAACGUAGGGAAACUUACGCUAAUACCGCAUACGACCUACGGGUGAAAGCAGGGGAUCUUCGGACCUUGCGCGUUUGAAUGAGCCGAUGUCGGAUUAGCUAGUUGGCGGGGUAAAGGCCCACCAAGGCGACGAUCCGUAGCUGGUCUGAGAGGAUGAUCAGCCACACUGGAACUGAGACACGGUCCAGACUCCUACGGGAGGCAGCAGUGGGGAAUAUUGGACAAUGGGCGCAAGCCUGAUCCAGCCAUACCGCGUGAGUGAAGAAGGCCUUCGGGUUGUAAAGCCCUUUUGUUGGGAAAGAAAAGCAGCAGGUUAAUACCCCGCUGUUCUGACGGUACCCAAAGAAUAAGCACCGGCUAACUUCGUG